GAUAAAAUCGUUUACCGUAUUUACCGUUCUUGAUUUUAAAUUUUGCGGCUAAUUUAAAUCAAAAAUAAAUCAGGCGCAUUUUGUUCACAUAAUUAAAGGAAAGGAAGAUAAAUAGAUCGCACUAAUAAAGAAAAGAAAGAUAUAUAGGUUUAUAGUUUAGAAAUAAAAUUACUUGAAAGUGGUUCAUUUAAUUAUUAUUAAAAGAUUUCCAUAGUCCUGUUUUUUUUAUUAAAAAUUUUCUGUUUGCAACCAAUGACCCUGAAAAGAACCCUGCACUUUAUUUACAAAUCAUCUGAUGAUUGUUCACUGCUUACUGCAUUUUUUUUUACUAUCCAAAAAACUAGAGAAAAAAAAUCGGCAGCCAAUUUAACAGUUUAACGGACACACUGCUUUUCUAUUGAGCGUAUUGGUGGUAAGAAUCUUGGUGACUCCAUCGGAAAUCUAACCGAAAAUUUGAUUAAAAAUGUAUUAAAAUAAACAUUAAAAGUUUUUCAAAAGUACAAGUUGAUAUAAUAAAACUUUUAUGUAUUAA